CUGCACACAGUGCUGCAAGUGGGGUCUCAUGAGAGCAGAGUAGAGGGGCAGGACCACCUCCUUCGACCUUCUGGUCAUGGUCCUUUUGAAGCAGCCCGGGAUAUGUUUGGCCUUCUGGGCCGCGAGCACAUACUGCAGGCUCAUUUCAUUUG